rnacentral:rRNA from 1 species
ACGGGUGAGUAACACGUAGGUAACCUACCCUUCAGUGGGGGACAACAGAGGGAAACUUCUGCUAAUACCGCAUACGAUCACGGACUGGGAUGUUCGUGGUGAAAGGAUUUAUUCGCCGAGGGAUGGGCCUGCGGCCUAUCAGGUAGUUGGUGGGGUAAUGGCCUACCAAGCCUGCGACGGGUAGCCGGACUGAGAGGUCGAUCGGCCACACUGGAACUGAGACACGGUCCAGACUCCUACGGGAGGCAGCAGUGGGGAAUAUUGCACAAUGGGGGAAACCCUGAUGCAGCGACGCCGCGUGGAGGAUGACGGCCUUCGGGUUGUAAACUCCUUUUGUCGGGGACAAUGGUGAUGGUACCCGACGAAUAAGCCACGGCUAACUCUGUGCCAGCAGCCGCGGUAAGACAGAGGUGGCGAGCGUUGUUCGGAAUUACUGGGCUUAAAGGGCGCGUAGGCGGUGGUGUAAGUCUAGGGUGGAAUGCUACAGCUCAACUGUAGAGCUGCCUUGGAAACUGCAUUACUUGAGUCGGUGAGGGGAAGGUGGAAUUCCAGGU